rnacentral:tRNA from 1 species
GGGAGCGUAGCUCAGUUGGUAGAGCGUAAGUCUCAUAAUCUUAAGGUCGAGGGUUCGAUACCCUCCGCUUCCA